UUUACCCUGCGGUGUUUGUGAUAGCCACUAGUUUUGAGCCAACACCUAUUAAAAGGGAGCCUGGCCUCUGGAUGUGGAUUGUAGGCCUUCGUACUGUGCGCGAGCUCGUGAAGGAAACAAAGAAGCAUUCAGGAGGGCACCCACCUGCGGAGAGCAGGUUCAAAACAGGGCGUCACGGCACGUGUGGGGUUUCA
rnacentral:other from 1 species